rnacentral:tRNA from 1 species
GCGCCGGUGGUGUAAAAGGCGUAGAGCAUUCCCGCCCGGUCAGAAGGAGGUGCGGGUUCGAGUCCCGCCCGGCGCU